rnacentral:rRNA from 1 species
UACAGGGGGGGGCAAGCGUUGUUCGGAAUUACUGGGCGUAAAGGGCCAGUAGGCGGCCAACUAAGUCACACGUGAAAUCCCCAGGCUUAACCUGGGAACUGCGUGUGAUACUGGAUGGCUUGAAUUCGGGAGAGGGAUGCAGAAUUCCAGGUGUAGCGGUGAAAUGCGUAGAUAUCUGGAGGAAUACCGGUGGCGAAGGCGGCAUCCUGGACCAUAACUGACGCUGAGGCGCGAAAGCUAGGGGAGCAAACGGGG